rnacentral:lncRNA from 1 species
CCAAGUGUAUGCUAACCCCCUCCCACCCCACCACACACACACAAGGGAUGGAGGGAGAUUUUUAUCGGUUUGAGUUGAAUAUAUAAGCAAUUUUCACUAAAGUAUGGAAUAAAAAUGAGAGAUACUAAUAAUCAGGAUGAUUUCACAAUCCAUGUGAACUGUAUAUUUUUUUUGGGGACAUCCCAUUUAAAUUAGCCAUUUGGUAAUUGGAAGUUGCAAUACUUGAAGUCGGAGCUUCAAAACUUGAUCAAUCUAUAACCUUUGCUAAUUGCAAGUUGCAAUACUUGUAGUCUGACUUCAAAACUUGAUCAAUCUAUAGCCUGCCUGAACUACUCAGAAGAAAAGUGGAAAGGAAAUAUAAAAUUUCUUGCAUUUGUUUAUCAAAGAAACAAAUUGUGAACUCUUAAAUCUAUUAACUUCCAGAAGAUGGUGGUUUCACUUGUCUUUGUGCCAUUUGAACUAAAUUUUAUGUCCUUUCGCCCAUCUUAUUUAUCGUGUUAACCAUUACACUGUAUAACGAAACACUGUGUGUUUAACAGGUCACGGGAGAACCAAGUUCUGGCGCCUCUCAUCCUAUACCUAAGGCAGUUGGAGUGGAUGAUUCCAAGCAGGAUUAACUUUGGAAGAAUUGGAAAAAGCAAAUAUCGGUUAUGUCUUCCUUGAGACUAUGCAGGUUUAUCUAGCCAUUGGCAAAAUGAUGUGUGCUACCUAUAUCAUCUUGGUUAAUUUAGUUUGUGGAGAUUUGAAUAAUGUAAACUGAACCUUCUUACAUUUUUAUCGUUAACUUGUAAAUCUCUGUUAGAAGCACACAUGACAUCUGAUUGUGUCUCCAACUUUGUAAUCGCUCUUCAGCCAUGUUAUGUAUUUGGAAGUGUCGAAUUAUGACUUAAUAGAUGUCAGUAGCGCAGACAAGAGUGGGUUGCUCUAGUGGUAAUUACCCUCCACUUCCAACCAAGAGGUUGUGAGUUCGAGUCACUCCAAGAGCAAGGUGGGGAGUUCUUGGAGGGAGGGAUGCCGAGGGUCUAUCGGAAACAGCCUCUUCCCCGGGGUAAAGUCUGCGUACACACUAUCCUCCCCAAACCCCACUAGUGGGAUUAUACUGGAUUGUUGUUGAUAUCUUAAUGCCUCGUGUCCCCUGUGUUGUUCUUGACUCUUUGCAGUCUAUGACCACACCACUGUAUGAGAUUGUAAGAGGAGUAAAUUGAACCGACUUUAGCUUCCCUAGUACCUACUCUGUAAUUGGCGGAAUCUUUCUUCUUCCUCCAGAAAGAGUAAAUCCUUUACACCGAUAUGUCGUACUCCUUUGCAGUGGCGUAGCCACUUGAAAAGUAUAUACUGUAUAUAUAGUAAUUUUUAUUGCGUUUAUAUGUCAAAAAAUAUUGUUAUGUGUAUAUUAAAUUUGGCGAAUUACUAGCUUAGCCAUUGCUCCUUUAACCAGGUUGCCCGACAGAUUAUGUGCAAGAUGGGUCGGAAACUACUUAAUCAAAAGAGAAUAAAGUGUCAGCUUUCAAGCAUUAGCUAAAUGGUAGUUAAUAUUUAUUUUCGUUUGUAUUUGAUAUCUUUUUCUUGCUUAACUGGCAAAUGAAGAUCUACCAUAACGAUUUUGUGGGAUCCUUCACAACUGGAAUGCUUUUAUCUGCAGUUUUGGGGGCCAUUUUGUUGAAUAUGAUGUAUAUUUCGUUUUUUCUUGGAUAUGUCUUUUAAAGUUGUGGACAUGUGGUUUUUAUUCAAUUGAUUCAAUGACAUUCAACUUAGAAAAAUGUUUGCUUUUGUCAAAAGGUGAAAGGUAUAGGCUCGAGUCCUCUUUAUCAAUUUUGUUUGCCAAGUCUAUGACAAAUUUUUACUAGGAUAGGUUUUACUUUAGGCCAUAUGAGUUGUGAGUUUGAAAAAAGAGGCACUUACACCUGCCCACAAAGCCCAAAAAAAAAAGGUUCAUUAAUGUUACUGCAUUUAAAUUUUAGAAAUGGUUAUUAUUUGUAGAAGUAUUUUACCUGAUUUUACACCGUUCAAAUAAAAUAGUGUAGAGUUGUAAAAGUUAAAAUAUCAUGGUAUAGUCAGUUUUUACAUUGGUCAAUAAAAAAUAGCCAUCGUUUAUCAAGUCAAUGAAAAGUACCCAUUAUUUUGCUGCAUAGGGACCGGUCGAGUAUAAUAUAUGGGAGUUCUGGUGCAUUUGUGUACGAACUCCAACAUAUUAUACUGGAUCGGUAUACUUUGCUAACUCCUGUAAAAUUUUCGGGAGACUGGAGCACCAGUGCUCCAAACUCCAGUAUAUUAUACUGGACAAUUAUACUCUUUGCUAACUCCUGUAAAAUUUGCGGGAGACUGGAGCACCGGUGCUCCAAACUCUAGUAUAUUAUACCGGACAAUUGUAUUUGCUGGAACUCCAGUAAAAUUUGUGGGAGUUCCAGCAUAAAACUCCUGUAAAAUCUGCGGGAGCUCCAGCAUAGUUAUCCUGGAAUUCCCGUAAAAUUUACCGGAGUUCAACAUACUUAUGCUGGAACUCCCGUAAAAUUUAUGGGCGUAAUUUUUUGGAUUUUGAACAAUGUUUUCGCUCAGAUUGAAAGUGGCUAAAUUUCGACGACUUUUGAUACUUGACUAUUUUUCAACGACCAAUGGUAAAUCUGGUUAUUUUUAAAUUUCUCGCGUUGUAAAAGCAUAAGAACUAUAUAGAACCAUCUUUAAAAAGUUUCAAAUAAAAUAGUUUGGUAGAUAAGUUUUUUCAAUCAAGUUGGCACCUGGGGUGCCUUGGCGUAACUGGUAAAUUGCUGUCAUGUGACUAGGAGAUUACGGAUUCGUGUCGUAGAAACAGCCUCUAGCAUAAAUGCAGGGCAAGAUUGCAUACAAUAAAUUCUUAUGGUCUGGUCUUUUUCUAAACCCUACGCAUAACGAAAGCUUAGAACAUCGAACUACACUUUAAGUUGGCGCCAUUACACUAUAUGUAAGUAGUGGUGGCUGGUGCUUUCUAGGUUUGCAAAAUAAUUAUAUUACGGUAAUAUGGUGGCCUUAAAUAGUGGCAGCCAUGUGUAUUCACAAAGUUGUUCAAAAAUUGGAUUUUUAACUAAAUAAUAAUUGAAUACAUCAUGGGUUGGUGAGCUAUUAGUCAACUGUUUCAGUGUAUAAGAUCUUGGUUGAAAUUUAGGUGAAUGUUUAUUGAAAAGUCUUAAAAGAAAGUUCUGCAUAAUUGCUACUAAAACCAAAGCUAGCCACCUUAUAAAUUAAUAUACUAUUUUAAUGUGUUAAAUUUUUUGCUGAAAACCAAGUUAUUGUUUUCAACACUGGUGAAGUGAUGGGGUAAUCAAUCAGAAUGAAGAAGCCAGGAAUUUUCCAAGUAAUUUGUUUAUUCUUAUUUAGAUGAAAGUAGAUGAAUAAUAACCGAGAGUUGUGUGGUGGAAUAGAUAAGAUCCCUCCGUCCUCAAUCAAAAGUUUCGGCUUUUAGUCCUAAGGAUGAAGGGGAGUGCUUUCCUUUUAAAUGGCCUUACGCAUCGCAAAUUCAGAUUAGUCGGAGCCCUGAAAUAGAUACCGAACGUCCAAUAGAAAACCAAAUAAAAUAAAAUAAAAUGUAUAAGCUUUGAUUUGGUAUUUUCUUUCAUUAUUUUUUCCUCUUACUUAGCAAGUGAGCAGUAUUUCAAUGUGCUUCUAUUUAUUUCCACUCAUAAUUAAUGGUGAUGCUCAAAAUUGUUCCAAAACAAAAAUUUCAACAGAACAUUUGGAAUUUUUUAAGAAAUGCAUGUCGGAGAAGCUCAAAUGAAAAUGUAUAUGGAAAAAGUUUUCUAAAAAUCAAACGUGGUUGGAUAAUUGCAGUUUCUAUUACGUUUAUUAAUAGUAACUUUCUAUUAGACCAAAGUUAAGUAAUUACGGAGGUCCACAAUUACGAUAUAAGGUUAGUAGACGGUUGAAUCGAGGAUAUAUUGAAAAUAAUUUCUCUGCCUCACAUAAGCAGUAACGGGGAUGGCAAUUUCACCAAAAAGAUUCAAAAUAUUAAAAAAUAAACACACGAAAAAGCUAAGUUGAUUCAACAUCUAUUAUUUAUGCAUAUAAAAUAAUUUUAACCUUAUAUAUACAAUAUAAUUCUACGACGAAGGGGGUUCAAAUGAACUCUUUCUACUACCCUAGCUUCGCCUUUGCAUAUAAGGUAGGGGUGAGAUCUGCGUAUAUAUUUUGUCCACCUUAUACUUUAUUUGUUAUUGUUGUUGUAAAACUUAAUCGAUCAAUAUAAAAUUCUCUAUAUAUUCAUAUCUUAGUUUCGAUAACUAAAUUUCUCCAUAUAUUUCUGAUAUAUAAAUUACACACAUAUUAGUUUAUCACCUUAUAGAAUGUUGUCAUUAUUAUUAUUAUUAUUAUUAUUAUUAUUAUUAUUAUUAUUAUUAUUAUUAUUAUUAUUAUUAUUAUUAUUAUUAUAUUAUGGGGGGCUUUAAAAAGGUGCGAGCUGAAAAUGUGGUCAAUUCAGAAAACCAGUUUUAGUUCAUUCACUUAUACUGUGGUCCUCUAAAGUUGGUGAUCUUAAAAGAAAGUUGCUACAAGUUGCGGCUUAUAUUAUAUUAAAGACGAAUUCCGAAUUUUAAAUAAAUAUUUACUAAAAGAAUAUGCUUUCAUUCAUGAAAAUAUAUAUGCACAUGUCCUUAAAAUAUAUCAUACUAGGAAAUAAUUUCAUAUAUGUUAUUUUUUAAAAUUAUUUGAAACAUAAAUUCACAAUCUCCAUCUAUUAAUUAUUACUCUUGGUUCCCCAAUUUUCUAUUUUUAGUCAAUCCCAAUUAUUCACAACUUCAAAAAUAUCAAGCAAAUUGCUUAGAUAAUUAUGAUGGCUAUAUCCAAAGUGGAUUAACAUUUUGAAAAUAAAAUAUUUUUUUUCUCCUGCGGAUCUCCCCCCUCCCCCCAACCCNNNNNNNNNNNNNNNNNNNNNNNNNNNNNNNNNNNNNNNNNNNNNNNNNNNNNNNNNNNNNNNNNNNNNNNNNNNNNNNNNNNNNNNNNNNNNNNNNNNNNNNNNNNNNNNNNNNNNNNNNNNNNNNNNNNNNNNNNNNNNNNNNNNNNNNNNNNNNNNNNNNNNNNNNNNNNNNNNNNNNNNNNNNNNNNNNNNNNNNNNNNNNNNNNUCCUGGAGAGACUCGAACUCACAAGCUCUCGGUUGGAAGUGGGGGUUGCUUACCAUCAAACCAACCCCUCUUGUCUUAUAAACUACAAAUAUUGAUUAGAAAAAAGCUAAACAGUAAAAUAAUCCGGCUAUUCAUAUAAAGAUUCAAUUUUUGUGAGUGGUUAGUGUCCUCUGUUUUAUGUUUUUAUAGCGUUUCUACCCCAAAAAAA